rnacentral:rRNA from 1 species
AUACGUAGGGAGCGAGCGUUGUCCGGAAUUACUGGGUGUAAAGGGAGCGUAGGCGGGAGUGCAAGUCAGAUGUGAAAUACAUGGGCUCAACCCAUGGGCUGCAUUUGAAACUGCAUUUCUUGAGUGAAGUAGAGGUAAGCGGAAUUCCUGGUGUAGCGGUGAAAUGCGUAGAUAUCAGGAGGAACACCGGUGGCGAAGGCGGCCUACUGGGCUUUUACUGACGCUGAGGCUCGAAAGCGUGGGGAGCAAACAGGAUUAGAUACCCUGGUAGUCCACGCUGUAAACGAUGAUUACUAGGUGUGGGGGGACUGACCCCUUCCGUGCCGCAGUUAACACAAUAAGUAAUCCACCUGGGGAGUACGGCCGCAAGGUUGAAACUCAAAUGAAUUGACGGGG